rnacentral:rRNA from 1 species
UGUCCUACGGGACGCAGCAGUGGGGAAUAUUGCACAAUGGGGGAAACCCUGAUGCAGCGACGCCGCGUGGGUGAAGAAGUAUUUCGGUAUGUAAAGCCCUAUCAGCAGGGAAGAAGAAUGACGGUACCUGACUAAGAAGCACCGGCUAAAUACGUGCCAGCAGCCGCGGUAAUACGUAUGGUGCAAGCGUUAUCCGGAUUUACUGGGUGUAAAGGGAGCGGAGGUGGCACGCUAAGAAUGAUGUGAAAACGGGCGGAUGAAGCGCGGGAGGG